rnacentral:tRNA from 3 species
UGGUUGGAUAGCUCAGUCGGUAGAGCAGCAGACUGAAAAUCUGCGUGUCGGCAGUUCGAUUCUGCCUCUAACCACCAU